AACGCUAAUACCGCAUACGUCCUACGGGAGAAAGCAGGGGACCUUCGGGCCUUGCGCUAUCAGAUGAGCCUAGGUCGGAUUAGCUAGUUGGUGAGGUAAUGGCUCACCAAGGCGACGAUCCGUAACUGGUCUGAGAGGAUGAUCAGUCACACUGGAACUGAGACACGGUCCAGACUCCUACGGGAGGCAGCAGUGGGGAAUAUUGGACAAUGGGCGAAAGCCUGAUCCAGCCAUGCCGCGUGUGUGAAGAAGGUCUUCGGAUUGUAAAGCACUUUAAGUUGGGAGGAAGGGUUGUAGAUUAAUACUCUGCAAUUUUGACGUUACCGACAGAAUAAGCACCGGCUAACUCUGUGCCAGCAGCCGCGGUAAUACAGAGGGUGCAAGCGUUAAUCGGAAUUACUGGGCGUAAAGCGCGCGUAGGUGGUUCGUUAAGUUGGAUGUGAAAUCCCCGGGCUCAACCUGGGAACUGCAUUCAAAACUGUCGAGCUAGAGUAUGGUAGAGGGUGGUGGAAUUUCCUGUGUAGCGGUGAAAUGCGUAGAUAUAGGAAGGAACACCAGUGGCGAAGGCGACCACCUGGACUGAUACUGACACUGAGGUGCGAAAGCGUGGGGGAGCAAACAGGAUUAGAUACCCUGGUAGUCCACGCCGUAAACGAUGUCAACUAGCCGUUGGGAGCCUUGAGCUCUUAGUGGCGCAGCUAACGCAUUAAGUUGACCGCCUGGGGAGUACGGCCGCAAGGUUAAAACUCAAAUGAAUUGACGGGGGCCCGCACAAGCGGUGGAGCAUGUGGUUUAAUUCGAAGCAACGCGAAGAACCUUACCAGGCCUUGACAUCCAAUGAACUUUCCAGAGAUGGAUUGGUGCCUUUCGGGAACAUUGAGACAGUGCUGCAUGGCUGUCGGUCAGCUCGUGUCGUGAGAAUGUUGGGG
rnacentral:rRNA from 1 species